CCUCCUUUUCUUGGCAUACAUGUAGUUUUUCAGUACUCAUGUGUGUAAUGUACGGAGGUAAAUAAAGCCAGUGCUAUGUCUUCGGUGCUAGCAUGUUUAUCGUCUGCUGGUUCUAUCCUCAAUCAUUGGAACAAGU